CGUACACUCCUGCGGGAGGCAGCAGUGGGGAAUAUUGGACAAUGGGCGCAAGCCUGAUCCAGCCAUGCCGCGUGAGUGAUGAAGGCCCUAGGGUUGUAAAGCUCUUUCACCGGUGAAGAUAAUGACGGUAACCGGAGAAGAAGCCCCGGCUAACUUCGUGCCAGCAGCCGCGGUAAUACGAAGGGGGCUAGCGUUGUUCGGAUUUACUGGGCGUAAAGCGCACGUAGGCGGACUAUUAAGUCAGGGGUGAAAUCCCGGGGCUCAACCCCGGAACUGCCUUUGAUACUGGUAGUCUUGAGUUCGAGAGAGGUGAGUGGAAUUCCGAGUGUAGAGGUGAAAUUCGUAGAUAUUCGGAGGAACACCAGUGGCGAAGGCGGCUCACUGGCUCGAUACUGACGCUGAGGUGCGAAAGCGUGGGGGGCAAACAGGAUUAGAAACCCCUGUAGUCCCAUGA
rnacentral:rRNA from 1 species